rnacentral:rRNA from 1 species
UGCAAGUCGAACGGAUUAUUCCUGUAGCUUGCUACAGAAAUAAUUAGUGGCAGACGGGUGAGUAAUGCAUAGGAAUCUGCCCAGUAGUAUGGGAUAGCCACUAGAAAUGGUGGGUAAUACUGUAUACGCCCUGCGGGGGAAAGAUUUAUCGCUACUGGAUGAGCCUAUGUUAGAUUAGCUAGUUGGUAGGGUAAAGGCCUACCAAGGCAGUGAUCUAUAGCUGGUCUGAGAGGAUGAUCAGCCACACUGGAACUGAGAUACGGUCCAGACUCCUACGGGAGGCAGCAGUGGGGAAUAUUGGACAAUGGGCGCAAGCCUGAUCCAGCUAUGCCGCGUGAGUGAGGAAGGCCUUAGGGUUGUAAAACUCUUUCAGCGGGGAAGAUAAUGACGGUACCCGCAGAAGAAGUCCCGGCAAACUCCGUGCCAGCAGCCGCGGUAA